CUUUUUUAAUAGCAUCUGACAUUUAUUGAAAAUAAGGAGAAGACUUUUGUCCAGGUAGUGUAGGAGAGCCGGGCAGAGUGCAGGGGUCACUGUGUUGAACAAAAGGCACACAUCAGAGAGACGGCUGCUAAUUCAGAAGAGAACCGGAUGCUGGGCAAAAGGAACAGGUCCACAGGAGAACAUGAGUGACUCGAUUUGGCUGCCGGGCAGCCCUGGGACCCGGCAGCCAUCUGGCAGGAGCAGAAGGUGUCUCUGGGAGUAGGGAGGGAAUGGGUCCCGCCGAAGGUGAACGGCUGGCAGAGCCCCUCCAGGGAGGCGGUGAGCUGUUGGAAUCACUGUCCAGGGGCCGUGGCCAGCUCAGUCGGACACCUCCCGGGUGAGACCAGAUCGCUGGAGGCUGCAGUCUGUCGCUGGGACGCGGCGGAUGGUGAUGGCAGCCGCCGCGCAGGUCUCCGGGCACAUCGAUGCAGGCCUGGUAGCCUGACAGGGAGCGGCCGGGCUGUGGGGGUCCGUCCAGCGUGCAGCGGGAGCCCAGCUCGCAGCUGGAGCCCAGGACCGAGUCCAAGUGUGCGUGGGAGGGGCCGGGCUGGCCCGAGGGGGGGGCGGCGGCGGCGGCGGCGCGCUCCAGAGAGAGGCCCCGCUGCAGCAGCGGGACCUGGAGCGCUAUUCCUGGAACAAAGGCAAGCACUACGCGGGAGGGGACAGGAGCGCGGGGAGGAUCACGGCGACUCGAACGUAAGGGCGGGGGAGGCGCGGCGGGAGGACGCCGGUGGCGGUCUGGGCGGUGGCGACUGGCGCGCGGACCCUCCCCCGAGCACCCGCCCCCCAGGCCCGAGGGUCUCCCGGCCUAGAAGUCCUCGUCCUCCACCCAGCCAAAGACCCGCUUCAUCUCGGCCAGGAAGCCCCGGUAAUCAUUGAGCAGGGGGCUCUCCUUCCUGAUGUAGGGGAUCACCCACUGCAGGGCCGGCCCGGUGAGGCGGGUGAUGAGGAACGUCACCUUCAGGGCAUCGCUGGAGAACAGGGUCUCGUCCACCAGCAUGUAGGCGCCCGUCUGCACGAUAAACUCCGGGAGCCGGUCGGUGUCUCCGUCAAACGUCUCGGGGAAGGGAAUCGGGUUCCUCCACCGACGCGCCUGGGGCCGGAGGGGCAGGGCCAGGAGGGCCUUGAUCAGCUGCACUCGACCGUCCAUCGCGCCUCGCUCGCUUGGCUGGGCUGGGCGGGGCUGGGAGGAGGAGGGCGGGGAGGCGUGGCGGGAAGUGCGUGUGUGCGGAGGCG
rnacentral:lncRNA from 1 species